AAGAGAACAUCUGCAGAGGCCCCAGCUGUGGAUGAUAAGGAUUUUGGCAUUUCAGUUUCCAUCUAUCGGAAUUUAUGGCACCUAGAGACCUGCAGACGUCCAUGAGGUUUGUCCUUAGAAAUUAGUGUGUCGUACCAAAUAUUUCCAUGGGCAAGAACUGAGGAUACAUCUGGUUCAAAUAAUUUUUUAAUGAACUGCAAUAUUAUAUGUAUAUUUAAGGCAAACUACAUGUAUAUCUAGAUGCUUUUUUUGGAUGUGUAAGUUGCUAUUAUAAAUCUACAACCAAGAUCACUAAAGAAAGGUGCUGGCAGAAACAAUUGGAGACAAUCGACAUCUACCUCAAACGCUCUAACCAGGCCUGGCAAGAAGCAACAAAGUCCCACAGAUGUUUUGAAAUACGCAGAUGACAGUCUCGCACAGGAAGUAAGUUCCCAUUUUAAAACAAGCCUGCGAUAUUGUUUGCCGGCAAUGAAACAAAGGUUACAUGUUUCAAAAGUUUGCACAGGAGAUCCAAGACCAUACUCUUGUGAGGAUCUGUGGAGUUAUUCUUGAUCAUUGUGACUGCCACAUGAAGAGUUACAGCCGAUUGUUUUGGACAUCUAGGACCAGUUUCACAUACUGAGGAAAUCACCACUGUUGUGUUGCAUCAGGAUUAACACUACAGCAGAGGCGAGUGGAUACUGUGCUUCAGUAAGAAAAUCUUAUUAAAAUCACGAGAUGAGACACCACUGUGGAGAAAUGGCAAGUGGAGAAAGAAUUGCAACAUAUGUAAAGGAGGCCUGCUGAGGCUACGCUUUAGGACUUUUUUUUUUUCAGUUGUGUUUGGUCUACGUUUCUCCUUUAAGAGGGAUCAGAUAUUUUUAUUUUUUAAUAUUCUUAUUUGCAAAGUUUUACAAACAACUUUUUCUUUGUUUAACACAGAAAUAUCAGCUCCAACAUCAGAGCAAGCUCAGAGGAAACAGCUGCACCCUGUACUUGAUUUUAGCUAAACUAGCACAGAGAAGGUGUUCCUGAUACUUGCAAAGGCCUCAUGCAAAACCCAGAGCCCCAUGUUUGAUAGUAUACAGUCUCCUUCUGGAUUUUUGGUGCUUUGAAAAAGAAUUUGGGAAAGUGCUUAGACUCUAGUGAUAUCCAUCAUAACAUUUAAGACUAAUCUCAGUUCAGUCAUGAUAUUGUAAUUUAGAGUCCAGCAAAGAUUUGUAUUUGUCUACUUUACUAUGCCUUCACACAUUUGAAUUUAUUUCAUGUAUGAUAGUGGCAAUUAAGUAUUGUAACUUUGUAAUGCUUGUUUUCAUUCAACUUUUCAUGAAUGUGGGUUUGGGUUAUAAUUGGUUUGGGGUCUUUAUUUUCAUUCUAGGAGAUCAGGAAAUGAGUAAAGUAAAAGUUUUCAGGAACACUCAUUACUUGUGCAAGACUUUGUCAUAUUCAGCUUAGACCUUUAGAGAAGUUCAUUUAAAAGCUCGUCAUAUCUAUUUUUCUUGGAGGAAUUUUACUCAUAAAAUUGCUCAUUAAUAAUUUUCUGAACUGUUCAUAUAAAUUACAAUUACAACUUUCUUUCAUACUUCUUCCAAAUUUCACAUGUCAAUGGCUUGCAGAUGAGUUCUAGUUAAACAAAGGCUAUAGAAUUAUUUAUUUAAUGCUCCUGCUGUCAGUACCCUGCCUGUUACUGCUGCAUCUACCAACCCUGAGUUUACUACUGUGACGAUGCUUGACAUAUUCUCACACUUUCCACCCAACCAGUAGCCUGCUUCUUUCUCCAUCAUGGUGCAUCACUCAAUGAAGGCAUGCAUCUGGAAGGUAGGACCAUUGGCCUCUGGGACACAGAGUACUCCUGCCAGAGACUUGAGGAAGCCAGAGGCUGCUGCCUUCUGGUUUCCAUGUGCCCCAUCUGGCACCAUCAUCGGCUCUGAAUCAGGAAGGAAAGAUGUCAAACAAACACAUGAGGUCAGCAAGGGCCAUCGGAGCAGAAUUUCAGCAGCCACUUGCAUCUCAAAAGUUAAAAAAAAUCUGACUGUUUCUGAAAGUGGGAUCACAC